rnacentral:tRNA from 2 species
GCAGGAUUGGCGGAAGUGGCAGACGCAAUUGGCUAAGGACCAGUUGGGCUUAGCCCGUAUCAGUUCGAAUCUGAUAUCCUGCA